rnacentral:rRNA from 1 species
GAGUUUGAUCCUGGCUCAGAUUGAACGCUGGCGGCAGGCCUAACACAUGCAAGUCGAGCGGUAGCACAGAGAGCUUGCUCUCGGGUGACGAGCGGCGGACGGGUGAGUAAUGUCUGGGAAACUGCCUGAUGGAGGGGGAUAACUACUGGAAACGGUAGCUAAUACCGCAUAACGUCGCAAGACCAAAGAGGGGGACCUUCGGGCCUCUUGCCAUCAGAUGUGCCCAGAUGGGAUUAGCUAGUAGGUGGGGUAACGGCUCACCUAGGCGACGAUCCCUAGCUGGUCUGAGAGGAUGACCAGCCACACUGGAACUGAGACACGGUCCAGACUCCUACGGGAGGCAGCAGUGGGGAAUAUUGCACAAUGGGCGCAAGCCUGAUGCAGCCAUGCCGCGUGUAUGAAGAAGGCCUUCGGGUUGUAAAGUACUUUCAGCGGGGAGGAAGGUGUUGAGGUUAAUAACCUCAGCAAUUGACGUUACCCGCAGAAGAAGCACCGGCUAACUCCGUGCCAGCAGCCGCGGUAAUACGGAGGGUGCAAGCGUUAAUCGGAAUUACUGGGCGUAAAGCGCACGCAGGCGGUCUGUCAAGUCGGAUGUGAAAUCCCCGGGCUCAACCUGGGAACUGCAUUCGAAACUGGCAGGCUAGAGUCUUGUAGAGGGGGGUAGAAUUCCAGGUGUAGCGGUGAAAUGCGUAGAGAUCUGGAGGAAUACCGGUGGCGAAGGCGGCCCCCUGGACAAAGACUGACGCUCAGGUGCGAAAGCGUGGGGAGCAAACAGGAUUAGAUACCCUGGUAGUCCACGCCGUAAACGAUGUCGACUUGGAGGUUGUUCCCUUGAGGAGUGGCUUCCGGAGCUAACGCGUUAAGUCGACCGCCUGGGGAGUACGGCCGCAAGGUUAAAACUCAAAUGAAUUGACGGGGGCCCGCACAAGCGGUGGAGCAUGUGGUUUAAUUCGAUGCAACGCGAAGAACCUUACCUACUCUUGACAUCCAGAGAACUUUCCAGAGAUGGAUUGGUGCCUUCGGGAACUCUGAGACAGGUGCUGCAUGGCUGUCGUCAGCUCGUGUUGUGAAAUGUUGGGUUAAGUCCCGCAACGAGCGCAACCCUUAUCCUUUGUUGCCAGCGGUCCGGCCGGGAACUCAAAGGAGACUGCCAGUGAUAAACUGGAGGAAGGUGGGGAUGACGUCAAGUCAUCAUGGCCCUUACGAGUAGGGCUACACACGUGCUACAAUGGCGCAUACAAAGAGAAGCGACCUCGCGAGAGCAAGCGGACCUCAUAAAGUGCGUCGUAGUCCGGAUUGGAGUCUGCAACUCGACUCCAUGAAGUCGGAAUCGCUAGUAAUCGUAGAUCAGAAUGCUACGGUGAAUACGUUCCCGGGCCUUGUACACACCGCCCGUCACACCAUGGGAGUGGGUUGCAAAAGAAGUAGGUAGCUUAACCUUCGGGAGGGCGCUUACCACUUUGUGAUUCAUGACUGGGGUGAAGUCGUAACAAGGUAGCCGUA